GAUGAACGCUGGCGGCGUGCUUAACACAUGCAAGUCGAACGGUGAAGGCGGAGCUUGCUCUGCUGGAUCAGUGGCGAACGGGUGAGUAACACGUGAGCAAUCUGCCCCUGACUCUGGGAUAAGCGCUGGAAACGGCGUCUAAUACUGGAUACGAGCUGCGAAGGCAUCUUCAGCAGCUGGAAAGAACUUCGGUCAGGGAUGAGCUCGCGGCCUAUCAGCUUGUUGGUGAGGUAACGGCUCACCAAGGCGUCGACGGGUAGCCGGCCUGAGAGGGUGACCGGGCAGAAUGGGAAUGAGACACGGAAGAGACGACUACGGGAGGCAGAAGUGGGGAAUAUGGCACAACGGGCGCAAGCCUGAUGCAGAGACGCAGCGGGAGGGAAGACGGCCUGCGGGUUGUAAAACUAGUGGAGUAGGGAAGAAGCGAGAGUGAAGGUAAGUGAAGAAGAAGAAAAGGCUAACUAAGUG
rnacentral:rRNA from 1 species